rnacentral:rRNA from 1 species
UUGCACGCUGGCGGCAUGCUUUACACAUGCAAGUCGAACGGUAACAGGCCUUCGGGUGCUGACGAGUGGCGAACGGGUGAGUAAUGCAUCGGAACGUACCCAGAGGUGGGGGAUAACGCAGCAAAAGCUGUGCUAAUACCGCAUGUGAUCUGAGGAUGAAAGCGGGGGACCGAGCAGCAAUGUUUGGCCUCGCGCCUUUGGAGCGGCCGAUGUCGGAUUAGCUAGUUGGUGGGGUAAAGGCCUACCAAGGCGACGAUCCGUAGCUGGUCUGAGAGGACGACCAGCCACACUGGGACUGAGACACGGCCCAGACUCCUACGGGAGGCAGCAGUGGGGAAUUUUGGACAAUGGGCGCAAGCCUGAUCCAGCAAUGCCGCGUGCGGGAAGAAGGCCUUCGGGUUGUAAACCGCUUUUGGCAGGAACGAAACGGUGUCCGCUAAUACCGGGCGCUAAUGACGGUACCUGCAGAAUAAGCACCGGCUAACUACGUG